rnacentral:tRNA from 1 species
AAUAUUAUGUCUGAUUUAAGUAAUAAAUUGUAAAUUUAUUUAAAAGAAAAUAAUUUCUUUAAUAUUA